GACGAACCGAGCGAACGUUGUUCGGAAUCACUGGGCUUAAAGGGCGCGUAGGCGGGCAUUCAAGUCUGUGGUGAAAUCCUGGAGCUCAACUCCAGAACUGCCUUCGAUACUGGGAGUCUCGAGUCCGGGAGAGGUGAGUGGAACUGCGAGUGUAGAGGUGAAAUUCGUAGAUAUUCGGAAGAACACCAGUGGCGAAGGCGACUCGCUAGACAAGUAUUGACGCUGAGGUGCGAAAGCGUGGGGAGCAAACAGG
rnacentral:rRNA from 1 species